GUUCGUUUUCUUCAGCAGCGGUCUAGGCGCGGAACCCGGGCCUUCCACCGUCGACCGCGCUGUCCUCUCGUUUCUUGCCCUGCUCUCGUUGCCGUCCCCGCGCCGCUCCUUCGGAGAAAGUGCGGGCCUCCCCUCCGGCCCGACGCCAGGCGUGAUCCCACCGCGAAGGAAGCGAAAACGCCCGCCGCCCUUCUCGCAGCGUUGCUCUCCGCAGCCAGCUUGGCUUUUCUUAAUAACACACAGUUGAUUGAGCACCUUAUGAUGUAUCAAGUUACGUGCCAGGUACUAGGAAUACAAAAUGGAGUGUGACAAGCUCUUGGACCUCAAAGAGUUCACGGUUUAGUUGGAGAGAUCGACAGAAACUGAUACUUUAAAGACCAGUUUGGUUAAUGGAUGAAUGUAGUGAGAACAGCGGCUGAAAUGAGCACUGAAUUCCAUAGGAAUGCCUGGGAAAGGCGUUCGGGAAAGGGAGAAUGAGUCGUUUGCUUUCUCUUACUGAUGAAAUUGGCUUUGUCAGUGACGUGAGGUAAUUUCUUUUGACUAUGUUUAUGGUAUAUUUUUCCAUAGAGUUUUUUAGUGUAAAUGGUUUUUUUUUUCUCAGAACUCCAGGGAUUUGCUUCCCACACAAGAUUUUCAGCAGCCUUAAUUGGGUUUCCUACUUCCACUGUUGCAUUUCUGUGAUAUGUUGCCCACACAGCAAAUCAGAAUGAUCUUUUCGGUUAGUUUUGGGGUUUGGUUUGUCAAAGGGUGAUGAGACAACCGUCCAACAUGUGAAUUAAAAAAGACAAAACUGGAGUUACUGCGUACUCUUGUAAGGGAGAGCUGUGUGGGUAUGCACAGUGUCACCAAGCAGAGCAGGCCGUGGAUCCUGUAUAGGACUUACAGGAAGUACAGGGUUCAGAGACAGGUACAUUUAGGAGGCAAAGGGUUGGGCGUCAUCUGUCUAACUGCACUGGCUAAUACCUCCAGUUCAGCGUUAGAUAGCAGUGGAAAUAGUGCACAUUCUUACCUUGGACCUGGGUAAAUGCUAAACAAACAAAAAAGGGGGAGACGGGAACGCUCUUCCUUACAGUGGAGACCCAACUAACAAAUGUAGAAGGAACGAUGGAGGUAAAACAUCACAAUUUAGCAACCAUCAUAGUACUGAUUCAGGCAAGAAUCAUCAAUGUUUGCUGAAAUUAGUGGGUGAAAUUUUGAGGAGGGGUAAGAUACAUAUAUAGUCUCAAAGUAUCUCUUCACAAGACACUUAUUAA